ACAGUCUGGGUUCUCUUCAGAUCGUAUAAAUCUUUCGCCUUUUACUAAAGAUUUCCGUGGAGAGGACCAUUAUGACUUUUAACUAAUUUUUUGAUGCCCUGCCUUGUGCGGGGCU
ensembl:snRNA U5 U5 spliceosomal RNA